GAAGCAGCAGUAUAGCUCAAAGGAUUACGCAGAGGUUGGCGUGUUGACAAUUUUAAGCAGCAGUAUAGCAGAAACAUCACGCAGAGGUUGGCGUGUUGACAAUUUUAAGCAGCAGUAUAGCAGAAACAUCACUCAGAGAGAUGGAUGGAAGAAAAUUAGUUGUGAUCCAAUCUUUUUGUUGGGGCUUUAUGUUUAUCUUCUUUAUGUACAUGUAUGUAGCGUGGCAAAGGAGAAAUGAAAGAGGUGUUAGGAAUAGAAUAACUAGGAAUACCGAAUUGCGUACAUCUUUUAUAGAUAGUUUGUUGGACAAUGAUGUCACUUGUAUUAGUCAAUUGAGGAUGGAUAGGAGAACAUUUGUUAUUUUAUGUCGGUUAUUACGCCAGGAUGGAUAUGUGAAAAGAGAUGGUACCGUUACAUUGGAAGAGCAAGUGUGCAUAUUUUUGCACAUAAUUGCUCAUCAUACAAAAAAUCGUACAAUUAUCAGUCGAUUCUAUAGAUCAGGGGAGACAAUUAGUAGAUAUUUCAAUUCAGUAUUGAAUGGGGUGUUGCGCUUACAUUCCAUUUUGUUGAGGCAUCCUGAACCUGUGUCGGAUAAUUGCUCGGAUGAUAGAUGGAAAAUGUUUAAGAAUUGUUUGGGAGCAUUAGAUGGAACUUAUAUUAAGGUGAAAGUACCUGAAAUCGAUAAGCCAAGAUAUCGAACAAGAAAGGGUGAGAUAGCAACAAAUGUCUUAGGUGUAUGUAACCCGAAUAUGGAAUUUAUAUUUGUAUUACCGGGUUGGGAAGGCUCCGCUUCAGAUUCCAGAGUACUUCGAGAUGCAAUAAGUAGGCCAAAUGGACUAAAAGUACCAACCGGUUGUUAUUACUUAGUGGAUGCUGCAUCAUAUACGAAUCAAAGCUAAAAAAGUGGAAGAAGCAAUACGGCAUCAUAUACGACAUGCUGAACAAAAGUGGAUUUGGAUGGAAUGACACUCUUAAAUGUGUGGAGAUUGACAGUGACGAUGCUUGGAAAGCAUAUGUGCAGAGUAAUCCAAGUGCAAAAAGUUGGAGAGAUAAACCUUUUCCGAUAUAUGAGAGGCUUGCUAAUAUUUUUGGGAAAGAUCGGGCAACAGGACAUGGAGCACAAACUCCAAUUGAUUUAGUUAAUGAUAUAAAUAUGGAGCCUGACAAUGACCAAUUUGAUGAUGUGGGUUCUCCAAUGUCUAUGAAUCAAACACAUAGUCAACUGCCUACACAAUCCCAAUUAAGAGGUAAGAGGAAAGCUCAAUCGAAGGAUGUUGACAUCGUUAGCGGGUUAAACAAUGUAGCAGAUAAGUUUAUUGAUAAAUUGGCUACACAGUUAGACAAGUUGGAGAAGUCUGAUAUCAACUAUCCACAAUACUUAGCUAUGGAGCUUGACAGGUUAGGAUUCCCUAUUACUGACAAUCUCAAAAUCUCUAAGGCAAUGAGAUCGGAUCCAUCGAACGUUGAGGUUUUCAAGAUUAUUAAAACCGAUGCGCAGAAGAUUGAAUUUGCUCGUGGAUUUUUGGAUAACUAAAUUAGUAUUGUUGUGGAUUAUAUAUUUAUGGAUAUGUAUGAGAGGAUGACAACUAUGAACAUUUGGAAUUGAAACUUAUGGACAUAUAUUGUAACGUAUUGAAUGUUAGUUUCUAAUUAUGCAUGUACGGAUAAUUUUAUUAUUAUGUGUUAUGUUUUAGAAUAUUAACAUGCACUUUAUUGAUUUGGUUAGUUGUUA